GAUCCAAGGUCCGCCGCCGCCACCGGCUCGCAGGUCAUUCACCGUGACGACGUCCGAUGCUUCUCCCAACCCCGCCCCUUUUCUCAAUCGGCAAUGGUCUGGUCUGCUCCACCGUGCCGGAGGAGGACCCGUCACCGUUGGGCCCAUCCCAUCCCAACUUCUCCUUGAGCGAGGAGAGAGGCAGAGCAACAGAACCAGAGCGGUGACCUAUCCCCAGCUCUACGCAGGUGUGUGCGGCUCACCCUCCACUGAUUCCAAUUCCAUGCACUGGAUUUCCUCACCGAGCUACACAUAUGCAGUAAUUUCCUGCCUCUUUUUGUGUCCGUUCCGUACCUUUGGGCUCAAACUUCGAACUGAUAGCGCAUCCAUAAAGAUCCCAAAUUAUUUGGUUCAAGUCAAUUUGAAGAAUUGUCUAGCUAAUGGUAUUAUUUUGUUAUUCUGUUGCCUUGGAUUAGGUUGGUUUUUUGGGGUCGGUGGUCGAGCCCGUGGAGCUGUUCAAGCACGCAACAUCCUAUGUCUGGCACUGAUGCGCCCCAGGCAGACUACGUCGACUCUCCCCGGCACACCGGAAGGACGGCCGGCUCGCUGUGUGUCUUACGGUAUUUUAUUCUUUCAUGGUGUUCGAUCCAUAAGCAUGGCCGUGUCUAAUACAACGUGUUCAUUUACUCAAGCGAUCACUUCUUUCUCUGAAGAAAUAGUUGCUACUAUUUUUUUCUCCUUUAAAUAUUCUUGUUUAUUUUGUCACUCCUACAUGCACAUACUACUAAGAGAUUAUGCAUGAGAUGUGACCAAUCUUACCCUCAUUGAUUUUUUUUUCUAUCAAUCAGGUGACCACUUUGUACAAUCUGAAAGGCAAAAUGGAGCUAUACCCCCUCUGCCUUCCAUCGCGACCUCUUGAUGUUUGUCAACCAUGUUCGCUGCUUUGUUCUGUGUUAGUUAGCGAUCCUUCUUCGUCCAUGUGAUACCGUAGAUGUUCCCAUAUCAAGCCCAGCUGACUUACUGUUGCUUGUUUCAGGGGUUGUGCCUGUUUGUUUGGAAUUUCUGUAUUGGAAUUUGGAAUUGCUUGGAAGGUGUGCCUGACCCAGAACUGGGAUCAUGGCUGCUAUAGAGGUACGACUGUUGGAAUAUCUGUAUUCGAAUUGCUCAGAAGGUGUUCCUACUUUGAACACAAAUGUGUUUUGACUCCUGCAGGACUUAUGUUUGAUGUACAAUAUCCAAGAGGCACAAGAGCUGCGAGAGUUCACAUUCAGGUCUGUUGCUUUGCUUCUCCUUGUCUACCACUGUGGUGCUGUCACCGCUUCAUUUGGUUUGAUACGAGUUGUGAUUUUCAUUAUGAAUAUGCACUUUUGUGGAUGCUUUGAGCGGUCCAUAUGUUGUUACAGUUUGCCACUUCAUGUUACAAGUUGUUUCAGAGACAGGUCCAUCAAUUUAUUUCCAGUUCAGAUUACUGCCUUUUGCAUGUGUUGUGUUUAUAAUUUGGCAAACAGGACAAUAGGUUAGUGAUAUAUGACGUUUUUUUGUGGUAGAUGACUAAUUAUAAAUAUAUGACUAGCUUCUACCAGAACAACCAUAAGAAUUAGACAAAAAAGUUAGCAUCUCCUUUGCUAUUAAAUGUGUAUUGUUUCGGUAAAUUUAGUUUAGUGCAAGACUUGAUAUACAUCUCCUGAGUAUAUGGAUGAACUAAUAGGUGAUCCAUGCAACUGUGUUUUGACUUAUCUACUUUUAGAGUAGUAGGUCAAAGCGAGCAUUUGGAGAACUUUUGAGCCAUCUACUUGAUGGAACAUUAAUUUGUUAUAGGUAAAUAUUUUGAUUUUAGAAAUUUGAAUGCAACCAAUUAUUAGUAUGCUAAACUUCCUUACCUAAUAAAACUAGCUGGCAUGUAUAAAAUGGAUAAUACUCAGUUUUGGGGCCCGGUGUAUCAUGUGUGUUUGGAGUUUGACAUUGAUAGACAAGGGUGGAACGACCAUGAUUACUCUACUUUGUUGCUUCAUCUUGCAGUACAAUAAUGAUAUGCCAAAUUAUUAGCAUUAUGAUUUGGAAUAAAGAAUUUCUAGGUGUCAUCUUUUUCUUCUUACAUUAGUAUGUGGAAUAAACAUACCCUUAAUUCUUGAGGUACUUAGAUGAAUGGUUGUUCAAAUUGUAUGGUCCUUCCAUUUCUAGAAUUAUAUAUUCCGUGCAUUUUCUUUUGGAAUAAAAAGCGCUUACAUUUUAUGUGCUUUCUUGCCAGAUGGAUCCUCCUUCUGUAUAUGCUUGUCUUAUUCGGAACCUCUACAGCGGUUUGUCAUGAGCAUAGGGCAUUGCUGCAUCUUAUCUGGAUGUGUACAAAAUUAUCACAAUAUUACGCUUUAUGUUGCAUCUUUAAUUUAGUACAGUUUAGUCCUCACAUAUGUUUUCUCCUUGUUCAUCAAAUUUGAUGAGAGAUUGAUACUGCUGUGACCAUAAGUGUCGGUGAUUUCUGUACAUGCACGGAGCCAACUAAUGUUGACAUUGAUUUUGUAGCUUCUUCCUUGGUAAGAAUAAUGUAUGCUCAUCUUUGCAUAGUUUCUGUAUAGUUAAUUAAGUUUGUAAUGUACAUGAUCAAGUGAGGCCACAUGGCUCACCAAAUAGUAUUUGUAGUGUCUUGGACUUUUAUUUAUACAACAUUUGUGUUGAUCUAAAGUUCUAAACAGAAUGGUCAUGGUUGCAAUUUGGUUCCGUAUAUGUAGUACUUCCACCUAUCGUUUUUCCUAUACAAAUAUACAGGGGCCAAGCAUUGGGAGUAUCCAAUGCACCAACGUUUGAAGGAGCUCAUCCAUCCACUGAGAGCAUUGCAACUUCCACAUGUCCUUGAUUAAUCCAUCUGCUUUAGUCGCACCAGAUACUCUAUCCUUUAAUUGUAUUGCCGAUAUCACUUGUAUAUAUGUAAGUAAGAGAAAAUAGGACUUUGUAAGGAUGCCACACUAUUUUUUUUUACGUGUAUUGCUGAGAAGCUCUGUCAAGAUUAGUAUAGUCAUUAGUUUCAUGGAGCGCCAUUUGUUUUCCCUUUCCGUGUACGAACACCUCUUGGCACAUUCAUGAUCCAAUUAAUGAGAUGCUAGAAAAGACUUACUAGACAUGGAACUAAGAGGAUGGUCAAUAUGACACGAAAAAUAUGCAAGAUGGUAG
rnacentral:lncRNA from 1 species